rnacentral:rRNA from 1 species
UACGGGGGGGGCAAGCGUUGUUCGGAAUUACUGGGCGUAAAGGGCCAGUAGGCGGCCAACUAAGUCGGACGUGAAAUCCCCAGGCUCAACCUGGGAACUGCGUCCGAUACUGGAUGGCUUGAAUUCGGGAGAGGGAUGCAGAAUUCCUGGUGUAGCGGUGAAAUGCGCAGAUAUCAGGAGGAACACCGGUGGCGAAGGCGGGUCUCUGGGCCGAUACUGACGCUGAGGAGCGAAAGCGUGGGGAGCGAACAGG